UAACACAAUGGCAUUCUUGGUAUUCUUGAUUUCUUUGCUGGUUGUUCCAAGAGGGGUCUUCUCAGACAUUCGGGCUGUAUUGACUGGGCCAGGAAUGGUAAGACCCAGAGAGAAUCUCAGCUUAGUCUGUAAAGUGACUGGAUUCUCCAUCUCCACCUCCGGUUACCCUUGGCAAUGGAUGCGGCAGCCUGCAGGGAAAGGUCUAGAAUGGAUUGCAGGAAUGAACCCCCAUGGUGGAGCCAAAUGGUAUGCCCCUUCUCUUAAAAGCCGUUCCACCAUUUCUUCAGAUUCCUCAAAGAACCAGAUCAUCCUCCAGCUGAACUCCAUGACAGCUGGUGAUUCAGCUAUGUAUUUCUGUGCCCGAGAACACACAGCGAGAAAAGAGCUAUAG